rnacentral:rRNA from 1 species
GAACGCUUGUGGCAUGCCUUACACAUGCAAGUCGAACGGCAGCACGGGCUUCGGCCUGGUGGCGAGUGGCGAACGGGUGAGUAAUACAUCGGAACGUGCCCUGUAGUGGGGGAUAACUAGUCGAAAGACUUAGCUAAUACCGCAUACGUCCUACGNNNNNNGCAACCCUGACCCAGCAAUGCCGCGUGUGUGAAGAAGGCCUUCGGGUUGUAAAGCACUUUUGCCCGGAAAGAAAUGGCUCUGGUUAAUACCUGGGGUCGAUGACGGUACGCAGGCGGUUUUGUAAGACAGGCGUGAAAUCCCCGAGCUCAACUUGGGAAUGGCGCUUGUAACUGCAAGGCUAGAGUAUGUCAGAGGGGGGUAGAAUUCCACGUGUAGCAGUGAAAUGCGUAGAGAUGUGGAGGAAUACCGAUGGCGAAGGCAGCCCCCUGGGACGUCACUGACGCUCAUGCACGAGCUGGAGCAACAGGAUUAGAUACCCUGGUAGUCCACGCCCUAAACGAUGUCAACUAGUUGUUGGGGAUUCAUUUCUUCAGUAACGUAGCUAACGCGUNNNNNNNNAACGCACGUAGUCCGGAUCGAGUCUGCAACUCGACUGCGUGAAGCUGGAAUCGCUAGUAAUCGCGGAUCAGCAUGCCGCGGUGAAUACGUUCCCGGGUCUUGUACACACCGCCCGUCACACCAUGGGAGUGGGUUUUACCAGAAGUAGUUAGCCUAACCGCAAGGAGGGCGAUUACCACGGCAGGGUUCAUGACUGGGGUGAAGUCGUAACAAGGUAGCCGUA